rnacentral:rRNA from 1 species
AUGCGCCAGAAUUGUGUUGCUGCAAUGGCUUUAAGGGUCCCUCAGGAUAAAGCUUUCAAAAACCAGAUUUUGUGCAGCAGAUUAUUGAAACCCAAUGUAAGAGAGGUGAUGGUAGCUAGCUUGUAUAGAUUGAUCUCUCUCACGAGUAGCAAUAGAGUACUACCUCCCUCCUGGUUUAUAGGUCCCCUUUGUAGUUUGUGCCAAAUUUUGACUAAAGAUUUAACUAACAAAAUGUUAAUGCAUGUCAAGAAAAAUUAUCUCAUUGGAUUCGUAUUUGAACAUAGUUUUCAAAAAUAUAAUGUUUGGUGA